rnacentral:lncRNA from 10 species
UCUGAUCUACAAUUAGGAUUAAAAGCCAGUGCUUUUGAAUAAUAGAAAAGUGCAUAAAAAUAUUUGAGUGAGAAAAAGUUGAACCUAAAUUCUAAUUCACAUAGUACUUAUUAGCUGAAUGACCUUGGUGAAAUUUAAUUUCCAUAAGCCUCCUUUUUCAUCUACAAAAUAGGAGUAAAAUUUGUGUAGGAGAGAAAAUAUUUAUUUUCCUUUUCCAUCACUAGGUUCAUGGCUGAGGCACCUAUAACAAAAGACAGGUUAACAAGAGAAAAGUGAUAUGAUUUGGAUUUGUGUCCCUUCCCAAGUCUCAUGUUGAAUUAUAAUCCCCAGUGUUGGAGGUAGGGCCUGGUGAGAGGUGAUUGGAUCAAGGGUGGUCCUUCAUGAAUGGUUUGGCCCAGUCUUGGUGCUGUUCUAAUGAUAGUGAAUGAGCAAGCUAUCACAAGAUUUGGUUGUUUAAAAGUGUUCAGUACCUGUCCCCUCACUUUCUCUUCCUCCUACUCCAGCCGUGUAAUGUUUCCUCAAUCUUCAUAGGAUCAUAGUUGAGACACCCUUCUAACACAAAAGACUGAUUAACAAGAGAAAAACAAGCAAGUUUAAUAAUAUGUGCCACCUCCAUCAUGUGGGAGACAAGUAAGUCUUUCCAGAAAGUACAAAAAAAAUUUUUUUUUUUUAGUAGAGACGGGUUUCACCAUGUUGGCUAGUCUGGUCUCGAACUCCUGACCUCAGGUGAUCCACCCAUCUAGGCCUCCCAAAGGGCUGGGAUUGCAGGUGUGAGCCAUGGCACCUGGCCUUUUUUUUUUUUUUAAUUACAUCUGAGAGCAGAGGCUUUAUUUACAAUGAUAUUCAAACAGGAUUUAGCAAAGGAUACCUCCUCCUGCUCGUAUCUUAGCAGCAUGGGUUGUACUUCAUAACAGAAAAGAGAAAUAUCCUGGGAGCAGGAAGUUCCAUGCCUUGCUUCUGCUUUGCCAUCUGUCAUGACUGAAAGCUCCCUGAGGCCUCCUCAGAAGCAGAUGCUACCACGCUUCCUGAACAGCCUACAGAACCAUGAGCCAGCUAAACCUCUUUUCUUCUAAGUUACCCAAUCUCAGACAGGUUCUGUCAAAGCUGCUGCUGCUGUUCAAGGGUGACAGAACAUGACCUCCACAGAGCACAGGAGAAUUCAAGACGAAUUGAAAUUUCAGGCCAUCUGGAUGUAUACGUGCAGGUCACAGGGAUAUGAUGGCUUAGCUUGGGCUCAGAGGCCUGACACCUGAGAGGCAGAGGUUACAGUCAGCUGAGAUCACCCCACUGCACUCCAGCCUGGAUGACAGAGCGAGACUCCACCUAAAAAAAAAAAAAAAAUUUACACAGGUUGAACAUCCCUUACUCGAAAAUCUGAAAUCUGAAAUGCUCCAAAAUGCAAAACGCUUUGAACACUAACAUGAUGCCACAAGUGGAAAAUUUCACGCCUGACCUAAUGUGAUGGGUUGUAGUACAAACACAGGUGCGUAACAUACAGUUUAUCCAGCAUCCCCAAAGAAAAAAACAAAAUUACCUUCGGGUUACAUAUGUGAUAUAACUUGGAUCUUUCUCCUCGCCGAAAUUUCACAACGAAUUGUUAGAGGUGGAGCCUGGGGGAAGGUGAUUGUAUCAUGAGGGUGAUGUCUGAUGAAUGGUUCAGCACCAUCCUCUUGGUGUUCUCGUGAUAGUGAGUCAGUUCUCGCAAGAUCUGGCUGUUUAAAAGUGCAUAGCACCUCCUCCCUUGCUUUCUCUCUUCCUCCUGCUCUGGCCAUGUGAAAUGUCUGCUCCCCCUUCAACUGCAACCAUAAUUGUAAGUUUUCUGAGGCAUCUCCAGAAGCCAAGCAGAUGCCACUAUGCUUCCUGUACAGCCUGCAGAACCGUGAGCUAAUUAAACCUCU